rnacentral:misc_RNA from 1 species
GAAAGCAUCCCCAUUUGGGAGAAAGAGUAAGGCAGUGUCAACAGCACCUGAGCAACCUGAUUUGAAGCACAGCUAAACCAGGCAUCAUAUACAGAACCACCAUGCCAAAGAAUACUCUUGAGGCCAAAAAUGGAGUCAUCUUCCUUGCUCUCUUCUUCUUUCUCGUCAUGCUCAGUUUCAGUGAAGGUAGAUACCAUCUCUUCCUCUGCUUGUUUCUGGGAUAUCAUUUUUGCUUCACUGCUCUACAGAUUUGGAUUUGGAAAUCUCCCUUGGAUUUAAAUUAAGAGAAGAGNNNNNNNNNNNNCCUGCAAGUCUGCUGCUUCUUUAACACCCUUUUCUAAAGAGAGAGAGUGAGAGAUGGUGCUUGCCUCGUUUCAAGAGUGUGCUUCUCUCGUUUUAUACCUUGUAAGAGCUAAGAAUAGAGUCCAGACGUCGAGUCCAAACGGCUGUUACAGCUCUUUUUUGCGGGUAGAGUGAUUAUAGUCCAAAUUCCCCCCUGCUUUCACCUAAUAGAACUGACACUGUAAAAAUCUGAUAGCUAUUUCACAACUUGGGCAAGCUGAGAGAAAG